rnacentral:rRNA from 1 species
GACGAACGCUGGCGGCGUGCUUAACACAUGCAAGUCGAACGGAAAGGCCCUGCUUUUGUGGGGUGCUCGAGUGGCGAACGGGUGAGUAACACGUGAGUAACCUGCCCUUGACUUUGGGAUAACUUCAGGAAACUGGGGCUAAUACCGGAUAGGAGCUCCUGCUGCAUGGUGGGGGUUGGAAAGUUUCGGCGGUUGGGGAUGGACUCGCGGCUUAUCAGCUUGUUGGUGGGGUAGUGGCUUACCAAGGCUUUGACGGGUAGCCGGCCUGAGAGGGUGACCGGGCACAAUGGGACUGAGAUACGGACCAGACUCCUACGGGAGGCAGCAGUGGGGAAUAUUGCACAAUGGGCGGAAGCCUGAUGAAGCAACGCCGCGUGCGGGAUGACGGCCUUCGGGUUGUAAACAGCUUUCGCCUGUGACGAAGAGUGAGUGACGGUAAUGGGUAAAGAAGCACCGGCUAACUACGUG